rnacentral:rRNA from 1 species
AUUGAACGCUGGCGGCAGGCCUAACACAUGCAAGUCGGGCGAGCGGCGGACGGGUGAGUAAUGUCUGGGAAACUGCCUGAUGGAGGGGGAGAACUACUGGAAACGGGAGCUAAUACCGCAUACCACAAGAUGUGCGCCGAUGGGAUUAGCGAGGUGGUGGGGUAAUGGCUCACCUGGGCGACGCUCCCUAGCUGGUGUGAGAGGAUGACCAGCCAAACUGGAACUGAGACACGGGCCAGACGCCUACGGGAGGCAGCAGUGGGGAAUAUUGCACAAUGGGCGCAAGCCUGAUGCAGCCAUGCCGCGGGUGUGAAGAAGGCCUUCGGGUUGUAAAGCACUUUCAGCGAGGAGGCGUUACUCGCAGAAGAAGCACCGGCUAACUCCGUGCCAGCAGCCGCGGUAAUAC